rnacentral:rRNA from 1 species
UUAAACAUGAGAGUUUGAUCCUGGCUCAGGAUGAACGCUGGCGGCGUGCUUAACACAUGCAAGUCGAACGAAGCACUUUAUUUGAUUUCUUCGGAAUGAAGAUUUUGUGACUGAGUGGCGGACGGGUGAGUAACGCGUGGGUAACCUGCCUCAUACAGGGG